rnacentral:snRNA from 10 species
AUACUUACCUGGCAGGGGAGACACUAUGAUCACGAAGGUGGUUUUCUUGGGGCAAGGCUUAUCCAUUACAUUCUGGAUGUGCUGACCCCUGUGAUUUCUCCAAGUGUGGGAAACUCCACUGUGGAAUUUGUGGUAGUGGGGGACUGUG